rnacentral:misc_RNA from 1 species
AAGGGAGAGUAUUUUAGGAAAAGACUAAAUAAAGUUUAUUGCUUUAAUUAUAUUAAUUCUAUUUUCUUAAAUUAUGUGAAAAUGAAAGUAGGCCUCUCUUUAUGGGAUGGGGGGAACACAUUUAAUCCUUAGUUCAAAUUUUCCGUUCAUUUGGCAGCUCCUUUAUCUUAUGUACAGAAAUGUUUUAUCCUUCCUUUCCAAUGUCCUAUCAAUGUUUAGCAAUUAGUUAAC